rnacentral:rRNA from 1 species
GACGAACGCUGGCGGCGUGCUUAACACAUGCAAGUCGAACGGAAAGGCCCUGCUUGCAGGGUACUCGAGUGGCGAACGGGUGAGUAACACGUGGGUGAUCUGCCCUGCACUUCGGGAUAAGCCUGGUAAACUGGGUCUAAUACCGGAUAGGAGCCAUUUUUAGUGUGAUGGUUGGAAAGUUUUUUCGGUGUAGGAUGAGCUCGCGGCCUAUCAGCUUGUUGGUGGGGUAAUGGCCUACCAAGGCGGCGACGGGUAGCCGGCCUGAGAGGGUGGACGGCCACAUUGGGACUGAGAGAAGGCACAGACUCCUACGGGAGGCAGAAGUGGGGAAUAUUGAACAAGGGGCGCAAGCGUGAUGCAGCGACGCCGCGUGGGGGAGGACGGCCUUCGGGUUGUAAACUCCUUUCGCUAGGGACGAAGCUUUUUGUGACGGUACCUAGAUAAGAAGCACCGGCUAACUACGUG